GUUGGUGAGGUAAUGGCUCACCAAGGCUAUGACUGGUAUCCGAACUGAGAGGAUGAUCAGUCGCAUUGGAACUGAGACACGGUCCAGACUCCUACGGGAGGCAGCAGUGGGGAAUAUUGCACAAUGGGGGGAAGUCUGAUGCAGCAACGCCGCGUGGAGGAUGACACAUUUCGGGUUGUAAAACUCCUUGAUUAUGAGAAGAUAAGACGGUUAUCAUAUGACAAGCACCGGCUAACUCCGGCCAGCAGCCCGCGGUAAUACGGAGGGGCCAAGCGUUUCUGGAAAUCACUGGGGUAAAAGAGGGGUUGGGGGGGAGGCAAAUUUGGAAGGGAAUUCCGUUGGUUUAAUGAGGGGGUGCAUUUGAAAAUGUUUAUCUUGGAAUAUGGAGGAGAAAGUGGAAUUCUCAGGGGUAGGGGUAAAAUCGUAGGGGAUCGGAGGGACUCCAGAUUGGAAGGCGGCUUUACUACGCAUUAUUGAGGUGAGGACGGAAAAGGUGGGUAGCCAACCAGGAUAGAUUCCCUGGUAGUUCCACCCCUAAACGAAGAACAUAUAGGUGGGAGGGAUUGAGACUUCAGUAAUGCAGUUAACACA
rnacentral:rRNA from 1 species